rnacentral:rRNA from 1 species
AGGAUAAACGCUGGCGGCGUGCCUAACACAUGCAAGUCGAACGCGCUUUCGGGCUUCGGUGCGAGAGCGAGUGGCGGACGGGUGAGUAACACAUGGGUACCUACCUUGGAGUGAGGGAUACCGGCGAGAAAUCGCCGACAAUACCGCAUAGGCUUCUUCACAAGGGAAGCAAAGUGACGCGAGUCACGCUUUGAGAUGGGCCUGUGGCCGAUUAGCUAGUUGGGGGGGUAACGGCUUCCCAAGGCGACGAUCGGUAGCUGGUCUGAGAGGACGAUCAGCCACACUGGGAUUGAGAACGGCCCAGACUCCUACGGGGGCAGCAGUGAGGAAUUUUCCGCAAUGGAGGCAACUCUGACGGAGCAACGCCGCGUGCAGGAGGAAGGUUUUCGGAUCGUAAACUGCUUUUCGUCGGGGACGAGCAAGGGACGGUACCCGGAGGAAGAAGCCCCGGCUAACGUACGUGCCAGCAGCCGC